CCUUUCUUUCUAAAGAAGCUCCAAGGAGGAAGGCUGGUGGUGGACAUGGUGAAAAUGACAGAGAAAAAGUGCCUCAAAUUGCAUUGCUGGAACUUACCAGGCUACCCAUAGAGGAAAUACACACACUGAAGCACUCCUCAAAUUGCAACAGAUGGGGCCCCCAUCUAAGGUGUGAGUGUUCUGUGCCAGAAUAACCAACUUGAGAAGCAAAGAGUGAGUUUACCAUGGCAAGCCCAUGCAGUGAACCUACAAAAAGUCAACAGUACUGAAUUAUGGCCACCGCCGCAGAGCUGCGUGAGGUGAACCUCCACUAAACUCUAUUGUGAUUUCUUGGGGAAACUGAUGUAAAUGAACCAAAACAAGACAAUUUGCAAUACAAACUGUUAUUCAAACCUGCAGACAUUAAUUUUUAUGCAAAAUUAAAGAAUUUUGCUAUUCGAAUAUGCAGGUCUUUAGUAGGCCUGUUAUGCUUAGUUUUAAUUUCACAGUCAAGACCAUAAAGGUUUGUUGAGAUUUGCGUGGGUGAGGAUUGAUUGUUCCUGUGAGGUAAGUGGAAGUUUCCUGAAAGCUACGAAUCCUUGACCCAUAACCCCUUCACCCACUCAUUUAGACCAGUCACACGCAUAUUCACACACAGGCACGCAUUAAUUUAAAGGAAUUUUAUUUUUUUUAAAUACAUGUAAUGCCUCUCCCACUCUCUCCUCCAGCACACCCAUAUGUGCGCCAAAGACUAUGACACCCAAAGGAGUAAAGGCUGAUUUAUACUUCUGCGUCGGUCCUACGCCGUAACUUAUGCAUAGACGCACAC